UACGUAGGGGGCAAGCGUUGUCCGGAAUUAUUGGGCGUAAAGGGCUCGUAGGCGGUUUGUCGCGUCGGGAGUGAAAACACGGGGCUUAACCCCGUGCCUGCUUCCGAUACGGGCAGACUAGAGGUAUGCAGGGGAGAACGGAAUUCCUGGUGUAGCGGUGAAAUGCGCAGAUAUCAGGAGGAACACCGGUGGCGAAGGCGGUUCUCUGGGCAUUACCUGACGCUGAGGAGCGAAAGUGUGGGGAGCGAACAGG
rnacentral:rRNA from 1 species